UACAGAGGGGGCGAGCGUUGUUCGGAAUUACUGGGCGUAAAGGGCGCGUAGGCGGCCUCUUAAGUCGAACGUGAAAUCCCCGGGCUCAACCUGGGAAUGGCAAUGGAAACUGGCGAGCUUGAGUGUGGCAGAGGGGGUGGAAGUUCCGCGUGUAGCAGUGAAAUGCGUAGAGAUGCGGAGGAACACCGAUGGCGAAGGCGGCAUCCUGGACCGGCGAUUGACGCUG
rnacentral:rRNA from 1 species